rnacentral:rRNA from 1 species
GAUGAACGCUGGCGGCGUGCCUAAUACAUGCAAGUCGAGCGAACAGACGAGGAGCUUGCUCCUCUGACGUUAGCGGCGGACGGGUGAGUAACACGUGGAUAACCUACCUAUAAGACUGGGAUAACUUCGGGAAACCGGAGCUAAUACCGGAUACUAUAUUGAACCGCAUGGUUCAAUAGUGAAAGACGGUUUUGCUGUCACUUAUAGAUGGAUACGCGCCGCAUUAGCUAGUUGGUAAGGUAACGGCUUACCAAGGCAACGAUGCGUAGCCGACCUGAGAGGGUGAUCGGCCACACUGGAACUGAGACACGGUACAGACUCCUACGGGAGGCAUCAGUAGGGAAUCUUCCGCAAUGGGCGAAAGUCUGACGGAGCAACGCCGCGUGAGUGAUGAAGGUCUUCGGAUCGUAAAACUCUGUUAUUAGGGAAGAACAAAUGUGUAAGUAACUAUGCACGUCUUGACGGUACCUAAUCAGAAAGCCACGGCUAACUACGUG